rnacentral:piRNA from 1 species
UAAAUCUAAUGUAACGUUGUGCAACCACAC